UGGGGAAUAUUGCACAAUGGGCGCAAGCCUGAUGCAGCCAUGCCGCGUGUAUGAAGAAGGCCUUCGGGUUGUAAAGUACUUUCAGCGGGGAGGAAGGGAGUAAAGUUAAUACCUUUGCUCAUUGACGUUACCCGCAGAAGAAGCACCGGCUAACUCCGUGCCAGCAGCCGCGGUAAUACGGAGGGUGCAAGCGUUAAUCGGAAUUACUGGGCGUAAAGCGCACGCAGGCGGUUUGUUAAGUCAGAUGUGGAAUCCCCGGGCUCAACCUGGGAAGUGCAUCUGAUACUGGCAAGCUUGAGUCUCGUAGAGGGGGGUAGAAUUCCAGGUGUAGCGGUGAAAUGCGUAGAGAGCUGGAGGAAUACCGGUGGCGAAGGCGGCCCCCUGGACGAAGACUGACGCUCAGGUGCGAAAGCGUGGGGAGCAAACAGG
rnacentral:rRNA from 1 species